GUUCACCUGUAACGACCAUAGUGCAGAAACGAUCUUGGAAGCUAAGCAGGUCAGGCCUGGCUAGUACUUGGAUGGGAGGCCACUUGUAAAUACGGGGCGCUGUGGGCU
ensembl:rRNA 5S_rRNA 5S ribosomal RNA